CAUUACAGUUACAGUUUUUGUAACUACAGCGUCACACCCCUAAAGAACGUGGAGUGAAAUUACGAGAGCUGCCCAAGAUAGUUCUACACUGGACGUUCUGCCCCACCUGGGGAACAAAACUUUAAUGGGCUGGUUUUAGAUAGUAGCGGCAAAAACUACCUUGGAAAACGCCCCGUUGUGGAAGGGCGGACGACGAGGUGAUACAGGUGGAAUUUCGUAACCGGCUACGUCCGAUGAUGAAAGUCAGCUGUUGGUUUAUCCGAUCUACUCUGAACACUACGUUUAUAAAGGUUUAAAAUUUAUAUAAUAAAUGUUCAAAUUAAACGCCGCGUCGAUUAACCAUAGUGCGGUAUACCCGGGUUUUAUACAUUAAAGGAA